UCCCUAUACAAAAGCCUCAUGCCUCCUCGCUCUCUCGCAAUUCACAAAGUUUCCAAACAUCUAAAGUUUUCAAUUUUACAAUAUUAUCGCUAUCAUCUGCUUGAUUCUCUGCAAAAAGAGAAGACUUUAACUGAGAAGAAGAAGAAGUCGUCUGAUUUAUUGAAGAAACUCUGCGAAACAAACUCAGUUCUCAUAUCGUUUAAGGGAUUUUAAAAGGCUAAUCGAAGAUGAAUCCAGAAAAGUUCAUACACAAAACAAACGAGACAAUUGCUACAGCUCAUGAGUUAGCUGUGAAUGCAGGACAUGCUCAAUUCACUCCUUUGCAUUUAGCUGGUGCUUUAAUCUCUGACCCCACCGGUAUAUUCCUUCAAGCAAUCUCUAGUGCCGAUAGCGAGAACGCAACUCAAUCGAAAACCUAAUCUGAUAUGGGCCGCCGUCAGGUUUAAAAAAAAAAAAGACCAAAAUAUUGGAGGGGUGUGGUGAUCGAACUCAUGUUCACGAGAAUAAUAAAAUCUCACAUAACCAAUGGACUAGGAUAAUAUGUUCGUAAUGACUAGAAAAACAAUUGAAUACAAGUAAACAAAUAUUAUAG
rnacentral:sRNA from 1 species